CUUUAAACCACGAUUUGAGGACUUCAAUAGCUCAGACACAGCUUUGUUACUCUAGAAGUAAACAAGAAAACUGAACAGCCCUAUGAAACCCCCUUACAACAAACAAGGAUUUAAUGUUUGAAGGAAGUGGCUGGUAAACAUUCAAGGUGUUCUGCAUCGAAAGCGAACUCUCGAGACAGAGCUGUGUGAAUUCAGUCCUCUGACCUCGCAAGAAGAAUUUGCCUAGGCCAGAGCCUUAGCUAGCAUUCAUUACUAUUGCUCCAUUGGUGUCAGUGGGGCCAGACCCAUAGCUGGCUGCAGGUUUAUUGACACCAGCUGGGAAUCUGGCCCCCUUAAGUUCAACAGAGCUUUAGACGACCCUGAAAUGUACUGACACAAAAAGAACGGAGCACCUCUGCCCCGUGAAGCACUCAAACCCCCACUGCCUUACCUCAGUUUGCAGCUCUCUCCGGUGCCAGAUGUGCUGGUCUCUGGUGCUUAGGAUUAUUGGUAAACGUGCCACUAAUCAGCCUGGUGCUGCCUGCAGAUGGGCCCCUGGCUCAGGGCUCCAUUCCUGGAGCCACUGCCUUGAGAAGGGGGAUGGCUGGGUUUCCUUUAAAAGCAGCUACCUGGGUCCCCCCUGUUUUCCUCCCCUCUUUGUUCAUCUUAAAAUGGCAGCCCAGGAUUAAUCAUUACUAGGUGCACAAUCAUUAAAAACAACCCGCCAGCCGCCUCCUCCCGCUGUGGCCAGGCCGAAGAGAAAGCUUGUAACGGCAGGAACCUGGCACAGCUGGAGUAAAAAACUUGGCAGCAGCAGACCUAGCGCUUAAAUCUCAGCUCCCUGUUCCACCGUGGAUAAUAAAUCGCCUUGUGUGCAAGACUCUGAUCAAAGCUUGCUGCGUGGCUGGUUCAACUUUAACUCCUUCCGUUUGUCCUGCACAUGGACCCGCGGGGGAACAGCCCCCUAUGCAAGGUUGAGCUGCCUCUCCCUGACUCGGUCAGGCCCAAGGGGUCCUGCCAAGCCGCAAGGAUCCCAGCCCGGCACUUGGAUUUUACUCCUCUUUAAGUCUCGCUCCCUCCUUCGAGUGUGCACCCCGGCCCUUUGUGGGUGCAAUGAGUUUGUGGGGCCCUGGCCUUUGCAGUCAGAGGGUGUCUCAGCUGAACAGCCCACAGGGCUUGAAGUUAAACAUGGGGCAUGUUGGCAGGAUUGGGGCCUUAACUAGCCCCAGAUGCCUCGUUGUUUCCAAUUUCUUGGAGGUGUUUUUUUUUUU